GGGGAAGCCUUUGCGUCCACAUUAGUUAGUUGGUGGGGUAAAGGCCUACCAAGACUAUGAUGUGUAGCCGGGCUGAGAGGUUGAACGGCCACAUUGGGACUGAGACACGGCCCAAACUCCUACGGGAGGCAGCAGUAGGGAAUUUUCGGCAAUGGAGGAAACUCUGACCGAGCAACGCCGCGUGAACGAUGAAGUAUUUCGGUACGUAAAGUUCUUUUAUUAGGGAAGAAUAAAUGAUGGAAAAAUCAUUCUGACGGUACCUAAUGAAUAAGCCCCGGCUAACUAUGUGCCAGCAGCCGCGGUAAUACAUAGGGGGCAAGCGUUAUCCGGAAUUAUUGGGCGUAAAGGGUGCGUAGGCGGUUAAAUAAGUUUAUGGUCUAAGUGCAAUGCUCAACAUUGUGAUGCUAUAAAAACUGUUUAGCUAGAGUAAGAUAGAGGCAAGUGGAAUUCCAUGUGUAGUGGUAAAAUGCGUAAAUAUAUGGAGGAACACCAGUAGCGAAGGCGGCUUGCUGGGUCUUUACUGACGCUGAGGCACGAAAGCGUGGGGAGCAAACAGGAUUAGAUACCCUGGUAGUCCACGCCGUAAACGAUGAGUACUAAACGUUGGGUAAAACCAGUGUUGAAGUUAACACAUUAAGUACUCCGCCUGAGUAGUACGUACGCAAGUAUGAAACUUAAAGGAAUUGACGGGACUCCGCACAAGCGGUGGAUCAUGUUGUUUAAUUCGAAGGUACCCGAAAAACCUCACCAGGUCUUGACAUGCUUCUGCAAAGCUGUAGAAACACAGUGGAGGUUAUCAGUUGCACAGGUGGUGCAUGGUUGUCGUCAGCUCGUGUCGUGAGAUGUUGGGUUAAGUCCCGCAACGAGCGCAACCCUUAUUGUUAGUUACCAGCACGUAAUGGUGGGGACUUUAGCAAGACUGCCAGUGAUAAAUUGGAGGAAGGUGGGGACGACGUCAAAUCAUCAUGCCCCUUAUGACCUGGGCUACAAACGUGAUACAAUGGCUGUUACAAAGGGUAGCUGAAGCGCAAGUUUUUGGCGAAUCUCAAAAAAACAGUCUCAGUUCGGAUUGAAGUCUGCAACUCGACCUUUUC
rnacentral:rRNA from 1 species